rnacentral:lncRNA from 1 species
CGGUGACUGGUCCGUGGGCUAACUCAGGGCUGCUCGGGAGACAUAGGCGGGCCGUGGGGGCAGGUGAAGGGUGCUGGACGUGCGAGCCUGGCACGCAGAAGCCAGAGGGCAGAGAGGAAAGGGCGUGAAGAGGGGGCGGGGCCCCUAACGCCCACCUUGUCCCCCGACAGCCGCCCUGCCCGCAGGCCAUGUGGCCCCCGCUGUUGCUGCUGCUGCUGCUGCUCCCGGCCGCCCCGGUCCCCACCGCCAAAGCCGCUCCCCACCCGGAUGCUAACACCCAGGAAGGCCUUCAGAACCUGCUCCAAGGAGUCGGGGCUGGCGGAGACGGAGAGCUGCGGGCAGACUCACACCUGGCCCCGGGCUCUGGCUGUAUUGAUGGGGCUGUGGUGGCCACGCGACCAGAAAGCCGGGGAGGAAGACCUGCGGUUCCGUGAGAGGCGUCCAGGGCUGCAGGCCACGGCGACAGGCUCCGGGGAACAUGGGGCUUUCCCUGUCCACUCCCAAGGAGUGUGGGCCUCAACGCAUUGGCAGGGGACGGCCGUGUGCCCUCUCCAGACCCCACCCCCAGAUGCAUUUAUUAGAAAUAAUAAAGUUCUUUCUUAGCU